CUUAAUUGAACUCUCUGAAAAAUGCUGUAGUGACUUUGAUUUGCACUCAGAAUUAGAGCGCUCAUUUUUGUCAGAACCAUCAUCUCCAGGAAGAACCAAGACUACUAAAGGAUUCAAACUUGGGAAGCACAAGCAUGAGACCUUUAUAACGUCAAGUGGAAAAUCUGAAUACAUUGAACCUGCCAAAAGAGCUCAUGUUGUGCCACCACCAAGAGGAAGGGGCAGGGGAGGAUUUGGACAGGGUAUACGACCUCAUGAUAUUUUUCGUCAGAGAAAACAGAACACAAGUAGACCACCAUCUAUGCAUGUGGAUGACUUUGUUGCUGCUGAAAGUAAAGAAGUGGUUCCUCAAGAUGGAAUACCUCCACCAAAACGGCCACUCAAAGUAUCACAGAAGAUUUCUUCCCGUGGUGGGUUUUCAGGCAAUAGAGGAGGACGGGGUGCUUUCCACAGUCAGAAUAGGUUUUUCACACCACCUGCUUCAAAAGGAAACUACAGUCGUCGGGAAGGAACAAGAGGCUCCAGUUGGAGUGCUCAGAAUACUCCUCGAGGAAAUUACAAUGAAAGUCGUGGAGGCCAGAGCAAUUUUAACAGAGGCCCUCUUCCACCAUUACGACCCCUUAGUUCUACAGGUUACCGCCCAAGUCCUCGGGACCGUGCUUCUAGAGGUCGUGGGGGACUUGGACCUUCCUGGGCUAGUGCAAAUAGCGGCAGUGGAGGCUCAAGAGGAAAGUUUGUUAGUGGAGGCAGUGGUAGAGGUCGUCAUGUACGCUCCUUUACACGAUAAAAAUCCUUUUGGGAACAUCUUAACUGUAUAUGAACAUUUCACGAGGACAAUAAAAAUAAGACAUUGAAGGACCAAUUUAGACUUAGCAGUUAUCUGGAGACAUCUGAGAGAAUAUUUUUAUCUGAAGAAAGCAGAAUUUGUUUGAUACCUAACAAGAUUUCAAUAAAAAUCCAAACUUUGUAU
rnacentral:lncRNA from 1 species